GGAGAGGUGGCGGAGUGGUCGANNGCCGGUCUCGAAAACCGGAGUACGUGCAAGCGUACCGAGGGUUCGAAUCCCUCCCUCUCCGCCA
rnacentral:tRNA from 1 species